CUUGGAGCCGCCGCAGCCUUGUGGGGCGGCGCCUUGGUCAGCAGGCAUGUGGUGGCUGCGGGCGGCAUCGGCAACCUUUUCGAGCAGCACAGCGGAUGGUGGCGGAGGCUGAAUCCGCACCUUGGUUGGACAGUGCGGCGGGCGGUUGUUGCGGACGAUGCUGCGGCCGGCCUCAGCAUCACGGUGGCUCAGCCUCAACCCUGCGUGGGAUUCACAGCGGUCAGAGCACACCCGUGGGAUUUGAGACAAGGCGGCAGUGACGAGUUGCUGGGCAACGGAGGCGCUGGAUCUGCGUGAACGGCUUGCCUCAGGGAUGGUUCCUUCCUCUUCAGGUGGAUAGAAGUCGAGGUCUGGAAGAACCAUGGUGAUCUGCUGUGCUGCCGAGCGAGGAAGAAGGUCAUGUG